AUCAUGGCAACAGGACUUUUAGAAGCACGUCCUCUGAAAGCCAUUUUCUGCCUGUGGUUGGAAAGGGACUGUGAGUCUUUCCUCAGGAAGUCAGUAGCCCUACCUGGUGAGGUGAUCAAGAGUUUGCUAGCACAAGAGAUGAAGCAACAAUGGCCAUGAGGGAUUCAAGGAUUAUGCGUCUCUGCACCCUACAAUACACCAACUGGCAGUUCCAUCAUUUGAAAGAAAAUCUUCAAGGUAAAGACAUUUACAAUGACACAAAAACCUUUCAAAGGCAUCAUGGUCCUAAAGGGCUUUCCCCAAGGGACAGCACAGUGUGUUCCAGGCCCUGACAAGAGGUUUAAGACCUGUGACACAGACUGAAGCUCUCCUGGCAUACUCUGAAGCUCUCCUGGCACCCUCCCCUUUAUGCUUCACAGGUGUUUCUCCUAAUAAAUUUCUUGUAUGUCUCAUCCC
rnacentral:lncRNA from 10 species